AUUGAACGCUGGCGGAAUGCUUUACACAUGCAAGUCGAACGGCAGCACGGACUUCGGUCUGGUGGCGAGUGGCGAACGGGUGAGUAAUGUAUCGGAACGUGCCCAGUCGUGGGGGAUAACGUAGUGAAAAUUACGCUAAUACCGCAUACGAUCUAUGGAUGAAAGCGGGGGAUCGCAAGACCUCGCGCGAUUGGAGCGGCCGAUAUCAGAUUAGGUAGUUGGGGGGGUAAAGGUCCACCAAGCCAACGAUCUGUAGUUGGUCUGAGAGGACAACCAGCCACACUGGAACUGAGACACGGUCCAGACUCCUACGGGAGGCAGCAGUGGGGAAUUUUGGACAAUGGGCGAAAGCCUGAUCCAGCCAUUCCGCGUGCAGGAUGAAGGCCCUCGGGUUGUAAACUGCUUUUGUACAGAACGAAAAGGUUUCUACUAAUACUAGGAGCUCAUGACGGUACUGUAAGAAUAAGCACCGGCUAACUACGUGCCAGCCGCCGCGGUAA
rnacentral:rRNA from 1 species